GCGGAGGCGGCAGCGCCGCGUGGUGCGGGCCGGGCCCGGGGCAGCUCUAGAAUUACUCUGAGGCCCGGCAAGCCCCCAGUCCCUGUGGCAGUGGAGCUUUUGGCACGUGUAGGAUGGAGUCCUCAUGCCAGAGUUGGAGCCCGGUUGAGGAGAGGAGGUCCCAGUUGGGAUGUGCUCCAUUGCCAGUUGGGGCAGGUGCAGUUCAGGUGUCUGGUUGAGCGUGGGCUGUUCUGGCCAUCCCAGAGGUAUGAUCCAGCAUUUUUGAGCGUCCCCAUGGC